rnacentral:rRNA from 1 species
AGUCAUAUGCUUGUCUCAAAGAUUAAGCUUCAGUAUAAGCUUCUAUACGGUGAAACUGCGAAUGGCUCAUUAAAACAAUUAUAGUUUAUUUGAUGGUCAUUCAUUACAUGGAUAACCGUGGCAAUUCUAGAGCUAAUACAUGCGCCCAAACCCGACUUCAUGGAAGGGUUGUGUUUAUUAGAUACAGAACCAACCCAGGUUCGCCUGGUCUUGUGGUGAUUCAUAAUCACCGAACGAAUCGCCUAGCUCUGCUGCCGAUGAAUCAUUCAAGUUUCUGACCUAUCAGCUUCCGACGGUAGGGUAUUGGCCUACCGUGUCAAUGACGGGUAACGGAGAAUUAGGGUUCGAUUCCGGAGAGGGAGCCUGAGAAACGGCUACCACAUCUAAGGAAGGCCGCAGGCGCGCAAAUUACCCAAUCCUGACACAGGGAGGUAGUGACAAGAAAUAACAAUACAGGGCUACUUCUAGUCUUGUAAUUGGAAUGAGUACAACUUACAUCUCUUCACGAGGAUCAAU